rnacentral:rRNA from 1 species
CCUACGGGGGGCAGCAGUGAGGAAUAUUGGUCAAUGGGCGGAAGCCUGAACCAGCCAAGUAGCGUGCGGGAUGAAGGCCCUACGGGUCGUAAACCGCUUUUGCACGGGGAUAACACCCUCCACUUGUGGAGGUCUGCAGGUACCGUGCGAAUAAGGGCCGGCUAAUUCCGUUCCAGCAGCCGCGGGAAUACGGAAGGCGCGAGCGUUAACCGGAUUCAUUGGGCUUAAAGGGAGCGUAGGCGGGCGUUCAAGUCAGCGGUAAAAUCGCGCGGCUCAACCGCGCCCCGCAGUUGAAACUGGCGGCCUUGAGUGCACAACAGGCAGGCGGAAUUCGUGGUGUAGCGGUGAAAUGCAUAGAUAUCACGAGGAACCCCGAUUGCGAAGGCAGCCUGCCGGGGCGCGACUGACGCUGAGGCUCGAAGGUGCGGGUAUCAAACAGGAUUAGAUACCCCUGUAGUC